CGAGCACGUGCGGGAGAGUCCGGAUGCCCCGAAGGGGUGACCGGCGCCGAAGGAGCAACUCCUCCCCGGAAUCUCUCAGGCCGAAGUACCGCGCAGGCGAG
rnacentral:ncRNA from 1 species